GUGAGGCAUCAGAUUCAAGCAGUCCUUGGGGAUUUUGAUCCCUAUUCUGCUAUGUUUCAGGUAAAGAUAAAUGUUAUGUUAACUUUUAAAAUAAAAAAAAUUUUCAAAUGCUCUUUGGCGAUCCGAUCCUGAAUUGGAUUUUUUCCUUCAACUAGUAUCAGAGCGAGGUUGAUACAUAGAUACGUAGAUAAUUUUUUCUAAUAUGUUUACACCUUGUAUGUAAUCAUAUUUUUAUGUUAGAU
rnacentral:lncRNA from 1 species